UGGGGAAUAUUGCACAAUGGGCGCAAGCCUGAUGCAGCAACGCCGCGUGAACGAUGAAGGUCUUCGGAUCGUAAAGUUCUGUUGCAGGGGAAGAUAAUGACGGUACCCUGUGAGGAAGCCCCGGCUAACUACGUGCCAGCAGCCGCGGUAAUACGUAGGGGGCUAGCGUUAUCCGGAUUUACUGGGCGUAAAGGGUGCGUAGGUGGUCUUUCAAGUCGGUGGUUAAAGGCUACGGCUCAACCGUAGUUAGCCUCCGAAACUGGAAGACUUGAGUGCAGGAGAGGAAAGUGGAAUUCCCAGUGUAGCGGUGAAAUGCGUAGAUAUUGGGAGGAACACCAGUAGCGAAGGCGGCUCUCUGGACUGCAACUGACACUGAGGCACGAAAGCGUGGGUAGCAAACAGG
rnacentral:rRNA from 1 species